CUGAGCAGCAGCUUGCCAGGCGAUAGGUGUUCAGUUAGCGGAGUUGUGAAUCAUUCGUAUGAUUUAUGAAACAAAAAAAGAUUUGUUCCGCGGUUGUGCUCUUGACUUCUAUAUUGUUGGUGUAUGCUGAUGUGUUAUGGUCUGUCUGGUAUGCGAUUCGAGCAGUGCGGCAAAAGUUGUUGGACAGAAGUUGGCCAUCCCCCAGCCCACGUGGAGCUCUGGAAAAGAUGUUCAACAUCAGGGAUGACCGGUGUGCCUUGUCCAUGUACCGGGACCGUCAUGUGGCACCAGAGCAAUUCAGUGCUGCACAGUCAGAGGUCAAACAAGAGCUGUUAUGGGAAGGAACCUAAUGAUGUUCAACAUCAGGGAUGACCGGUGUGCCUUGUCCAUGUACCGGGACCGUCAUGUGGCACCAGAGCACUUCAGUGCUGCACAGUCAGAGAUCAAACAAGAACUGUUAUGGGAAGGAACCUAAUGGUCAAUGAUGGUCCUUAAUAAGGCACAACUCCUUUGUCACGGGCAGGAAAACUUGCUACUGGCAACAACAAUGCAAAAGCUUCUGAAGGUGAAUGAAGUCCUUCAGGCACAGCUCCCUCCUCAAUGGCCACAGCAGGAGAACUUGUGACUGGCACUAAUAGUGCAAAAGCUUCUGAAGGGGAAUGAAGUCCUUCAGGCACAGCUCCUUCCUCAUGGGCAGGAAAACUCCCUACUGGCACCAACAAUGAAAAAGCUUCUGAAGGUGAAUGAAGUCCUUCAGGCACAACUCCUUCCUCACGAGCAGGAAAACUCCCUACUGGCACCAACAGUGCAAAAGCUUCUGAAGGUGUCUCCAUGGUUGCCAUGUGGGGACGUAACAUAAGCCUUUGUCUCAAUGUAACUGAAUAAAAAAACAUUGCAUAAUUAUUUAUUUAUUAAAGAGAUUUUCUGUUUUUCUUA